CAGUUAUGGCCUUUUGGUUCAAGCGUUAGACUAGAAAUCUAAUCCCCUCUGGGGUCGCAGGUUCGAAUCCUGCUGACUGCG
rnacentral:tRNA from 1 species